rnacentral:rRNA from 1 species
GUCGAACGGGAUCCAGGCAGCUUGCUGCCUGGUGAGAGUGGCGAACGGGUGAGUAAUGCGUGACCGACCUGCCCCAUGCACCGGAAUAGCUCCUGGAAACGGGUGGUAAUGCCGGAUGCUCCAUCACACCGCAUGGUGUGUUGGGAAAGCCUUUGCGGCAUGGGAUGGGGUCGCGUCCUAUCAGCUUGAUGGCGGGGUAACGGCCCACCAUGGCUUCGACGGGUAGCCGGCCUGAGAGGGCGACCGGCCACAUUGGGACUGAGAUACGGCCCAGACUCCUACGGGAGGCAGCAGUGGGGAAUAUUGCACAAUGGGCGCAAGCCUGAUGCAGCGACGCCGCGUGAGGGAUGGAGGCCUUCGGGUUGUAAACCUCUUUUGUUAGGGAGCAAGGCAUUUUGUGUUGAGUGUACCUUUCCAAUAAGCACCGGCUAACUAC